rnacentral:misc_RNA from 1 species
GAUGAUUCGAAAACAUGAUAACUCCGGAAUCAUGAACCUUAAUUACUGGCUCCAGUUUUGUGAAGCCUAAUAGAGCUAAUUCAUCUUAAUACCACCAAUUUGCUAUGGUGUUCUUUGUUCAUAUAUUACACACCACACUCUUCAAUUUUCCUCUUUUCUUUCUUCGACUUCACACGUAAAUAUACAGAGGAGGUUUUGUGAACUCCAUCAACCCUAGAAACUACCACAACGAGAACAGAAAAAAUCAAAAAUCGCAAACCCAAGCAAGAAAAUUAAAACUCAAUAACAAGAAGUCAAGAACCUCCGUGCUAAAAUGUAGAGAGAGAGAGAG